AAGUUCCCUGGCUACGGGUUGAAUCAGAGCUGCAGCUGCAGGCCUAUGCCAUAGCCAUGACAAUACUGGCUCUGAGCCACAUUUGUGACCUAUGCUGCAGCUUGUAGCAAUGCUGGAUCCUUAACCCACUGAGCGAGGUCAAGGAUUGAACUGAAUCCUGGGGGGACUAUGUCAGGUUCUUAACCCACUGAGCUACAACAGUAACUCCUCACCAGUUGUUUUUAAUUUAACAUUUUUUGUAUCAGCUGUCUUGAGGUAAGAAAUGUUAUAAACAAAAAGUAUAUCUUAAUGUACGAGAGGAAGUAAAUCUGUUGCAUGAAAAUAGCACUUUAUGAAAGUACUGGUUGAUAAUUUUGCCAGAGGAGAUAUUUUAAAUUAUUCUAAGGAAUCAUGAAAAAAGGCAAAAUAUUUCGUCCAGUCCAUUGCAUAUGAUAUAUGUCCGUUUCAGAAGAGAACAUAUAGCUGAUCAAAAUAGUUUAUAAUAAAUAUGAAACAUUGAGAUUUAUAGUUAGAAACAGCAAUGGUAAUAUAUAAAUAUUAGUAAUGUAAGUGUAUUACUAACAAGGGUCAUAUAAGUCGAUUUUUAAAGACGGUUAUUAUCAGACCUAUUUCAUUGGAUUAAAUAAGAUCUUCUGGCUGACAAAGGUUUAAGUCCAGCAUAAAAAUAAUUAUUUUCAGCACAGCAAAAGAAACAGAGUAUGUUAUUGUUACUGUCAAAAUACUGAGUUCGUAAGUAUUUUACCAAAAAGAAAAACUGUUUUGGGAAAAAAGGAUAUUGAAUUAGAAGGGAAAUACUUUUGUUGACUUUUCUCAAAAACAGGACUACACUGAAACUUGCCAAAUCCAAAAAUUAUUGACUAGUGGAGUUUAAUUAAAAAUAUUUUGGCUUCACAGAAAAAUAUACUUUGUGGUUUAGGCUUUCCGGUCACAUUCUAUUCCCUGCACUGGCAUAUAAAAUUAGAAGGGAAAAAAAAUCACCACAUACUGUAUAUAUGUUAUAGCACAAUAAUAAAAUGAUAAUGUCUUUCGAAUAAGUAAGACUUACUGUUAUUUCUGAGUCAUUCCUUUACAAAACCAUUUUAAUGAUCAGUAACCUGAAAGGAAAAUAGAUAAAUCAAGAUAUGGUCAUCAUUAAAAAUGCCCAUGAAAUUUGCUAAAAUAGUACAAUUUAAAUGUACUCAACAACAACAAAAACUUUAAAUAUGAGAUAAAUAUGCAAUGUGACAGAAGUGUUUAUUAACUAGAUGAGGAAAUCCUUUCACAAUAUAUACACAUAUCAAGUCAUCACAAUGUGUACCUUAAAUAUUUUGCAAUUUUAUUUCAAUUAUACCUCAACAAAGAGGAAACUUUUUAAAAUGUCUGUGAAUUAACAUACAUUCAAAGUGUUCAAUUUAUAUUUAUUUAAAAAAAUCUUAAAAUCAAAAUAUUCUUAAUACAGUGGGAGACUAAAAAAUUUAAAGAUUAUUCUUUACAUGCUGUCAGUUAGAACCAUCUUCCCUAUAAUAAAAGUAGACAUCCUUUUGGUUUCCCUAAAAAUUACUGCACAAUAAUAGUAUCAAUAAUAUCAAUAAAUAUUGAUAGAAUAACCAAUUGAUUAUAAAACCAAUCCAAUUGAUUAUAGGUCUGCUUUCUAAAUGUGGAAGUAUACAACUUCCCAACAUCAAAAUUCACAGGGGUUAAAAUUAAUAAAAAUGUUUAAUAGGUCCAGCCAAAGUUAAGUUUAUGUAAAUUGACAUUGAAGUAAAUUGUGCUCUUGCUCUUCUUAUUUUUAUAGUUGUUUACAGAAUACCACAAAUAUUUUAGAGACAAAAGACUGUCACACAGGUGAAUCUACAAAAUAUCAUCAAUUAAUUUGUUUAACAUUUCCAGUUUUAUGUAAAAAUAUUUUUGAAUCACAGGAGUUAUUAGUAGAAUGCUACUUUUAAAAUAUGGUUUUAGGAGUUCUCUUCAUGGCUCAGGGGUUAAUGAACCCAACUAGUAUCCAUGGGGCUUUGCUCAGUGUGUGAAGGAUCCCAUGUUGCCAUGAGCUGUGGUGUAGGUCACAGACAUGGCUCAGAUCUGGAGUUGCUAUGGCUGUGGCGUAGGCCGGUGGCUGUGGCAUAGGCCGGUGGCUAUAGCUCUGACUCUACCCCUAGCCUGGGAACCUCCAUAUGCCAGAGGUGUGACCCUAAAAAGACAAAAAAAUAAAAAAUAAAAAAUAAAAAUAAAUACAGUUUUAUAUUUAAAUUCAUUUCAUAUGCUCUAUUUGCAAUUCAUUUUCCUACCAAUAUUAUUUGCUGUCAUAGACAUCCAGAACUUAUUUAUCCAUAGCAGUAACUGAAAUAAUUUGAAAUGAGGUGAAAAUUUUGGAAAACAUAUGCUUACUGAUGAGGUUUUACAAGCUAUAUUUCAACUCUGUGAAAAUCUACAAUAUUAACAACAUGAUUGAUGGACUAGUCCAGUUUUCCAAACAGCAGAAUAUUCAUGUAGGCUGUAGGAAGAAUGUUUUCCUCCUUUGACCCAGCUCAUUCAUAGUUGGCAAAAUAUUUGGAAACUAAAACAUUAAAGAAGGCUAGUCUCCUUUCCAGACCAUGAAUAUGCAGAAAGAGGACAGCAAAAUCUAAACUUACAAUCCAGUGUUUCGAGAUUUUCAUUUUAAGUCAAUAUAGUCUAUUUUUGUUUUAAAGACUACACAAUAUGUAAACAGUUUAAUCAUUUUUUUUUUGGUUUAAAUAACUACAAAUAAGUCUUAAUCUAUUUAGUACAAAGAUGAAUACAAAAAUAUUGAGAACAAAGUCUUAAGCAAACUAUUAAAAAUCAAGUACUAAUAGAUUUAUUUUGUUAAGUGAAAUACUGUAUGCUCCUGGUCGGUUUUAUGUUUUCAUACUCCUAGUAGAAAAUAGGAGAACAAACCUAAAAUCCAUGAUUAUUUCUGUCCGUGCCUGUAAUUGACUUUAAAUAUUCCAGUUAGUAUGGUAUGAAGUACUUUAGUUUAUCGUUACACACUAGAAAAUUUAGUUAGGAUCUGAAGAAUUCUAGUCAGAGAAUCAUUCUCUAAGUUGGUUAAAAUUUGAAGUUUCUAAUCAAUAGAUUGCCCUUCAGGGGUAACUGUAACAAAUGCUUGGAAUUUCCAAAUAUUGCUCUGUGAAAGUCUAUGUGGGCGGUUAGUUAUUUACAAAAGGUGUGACACUAUUUCAUCUGUAAGACAAUGGUGAUGAAGGUGUGUGACUGGAAAUAGCGGCAAUCAUCUCCCCACUGUAUGCACAAAGUACAGGAGUCUCAGUCUGAGGCCAAGAGGCUAACAUCUUUGCCACCCUAUUCCCAGAAUUCUAUUUAGCUUGUUAUCCACCCCCUAACUUAGACGGUGGCCCCUUCACCUAGUGCUACUACAGGGCUCAUUCUCCUGACACAAGACUAUGUUGUGUGGCUCAGCUGUGCACUUUUCCUGUGUCCUGGAGGACCGGCCAGAAAGGACAAGAGAACAGGGACCACGCCCAGAUUAUUGGAACAGGCUGUUGGAUGGAUUUUGUACUUCUUUGUUAAUAAAAAGUGUGUGCAUUUGCAGAAAUUGGUUUGUAACAUUUUUGUGUGUUUGUUUUUUGCUUUAUUUUUUAAACAAUCUAUCUGCUAGGGAAAGUUCUAAGAGACAUCUAGUUCCUAUCUAUCUCUUACUGUCACAGAUUAAAAUAUUGACAGGUCCCUGACAAUUGAAGAACAAAUUAGCUUAGGUCAAUUCUCAAUACCAGCUGAUUGAACUGGAACUAAGAGGUCCAAGCAAACACAGUUCUGCUAGAGAAAGUAGACCAUGCUGCAGUAAUAACCAAUCUCCAACAUAGUGGCUUACAAUUGCAAAGGUGCCUUUCUCAUUCAUACCAAGGGUUAUUAUAGGUUGAUAGAGGAGCUCUGCUAAUUGUAGUAACUCAGGUAAGUGGGAUAAUGGGGCAGGCUCCAUUCCAAGUACAUACAGGAAAGACACAAGACAGGGAAGAAACACUGGUGAUUAAAGGUUCUGAACCCAGGUACAAUACUUAUUAGCCUCUACUUCUUUUCUGGCCCCACUCAAAUCACAAGGGGACUAGGAAGUGCAAUACAAUUCUAUUACUAUAUGCCUAGAACAGGGAGAAUCAGAAAUAGUAAAUUUUAAAAUUACCACAGCAAUUCAAUAUCUACAAUUGAAACCAAGUAGAUAUUGAAUUGCUGUGGUAAUUCUGUAAGAUGUACUGUUUGAACAGUAUAUCUUAAAGCUGUAGGAUAUCCUAAAAUUACACUUAUGAGAGAAAAAAAAAGGAAUGAUUAAACUUAGUUUUGCAAUAAGUCGCUUGACUUAAAAUGAUUUAAAUGAUUUAAUCUUUAUGAUUGAAAUCAAUUCUAUUCUAAUCUAAGCAAUUAGAAUAUGAGUGGGAAGGCUUAACUAUGUAAGCAAUAUAAACAAUCAUUAAAAUGCAGUGGGAGAUUCUAAAAAGAAGAUUUAAAAGAUGCUAUACUUUUAUUUACACACUCUAGCAGGAGUGGCUAAAUUUUCAUGUGCAUACAAAUAACAAUAUAGAUUCCUGGACCCCUGGACUAAAAUGAUUUAAUAUUUAAGUGCAGGACUUUGCAUUUUAAAAUACACACACUUAAUUCUGAUGCAAGCAGUUCUGGGUCUUGGAACCUGAUUUUUAGAUGUGAUAAUGGUAGCAGAUGGGUUCCAAGAAGCAAAAAACAUUAAGUAUGAAAUUGAGUUGGGGAAAAAGCAAGUAGGGCUUCAAUCAAUUCAUGGUAAAUGUUACUUAAGUGUUGAAAUCAUAUUAUUAAAAAACAUUUCGAGACCAUCUGACUCAGUAGUCUCAACAAGAUGCAAUAGCUAUGUGAUGACAUUGCUUUUAUACUCUGUAUGAAAACCUUAAAAAACUGAUUUGCAACUAGUCUCCAUUUAGAUUAGGAAGAACAGGGGCUUACCAGUCUCUUUGCAGAUAAUGCUCAAAUUGAUAUCUCUAUUCCAGACUCCUUUCCUGAGUGCCAGACUCAAAUAUCCAACUUUCCACAAGAAAUCUCCUUUUGGAUAGACCUAAUAAAUAUCUGAGCCCUUAUAUAUUCAAAGACAAAUUCCUGACACUCACUCCCCAAACUGUUCCUCCUUAAAGCCAUUUCCAUUUCAAUCAAUGGCAGCUCUAUUUUCAAUUACUCAGGUUAAAAACCUACAAGGCAUCCUUAGUGCAUCAAUUUCUCAACAAUCUGCUCAAUCAUUCAGCAUAGCUGUUGGUCAGUGCUUCCUUUGAAGAGUCCUUCCAAAAUCUGACCACUUCCUAUCUCCUCCUUCACCACCACCCUGGUCUAAGCCACCAUCAUCUCUCAUUUGGACUGUUGCAGUGAUUUUCAAAUGAUCUCCUAAAAAAAUGUGCUAGUAAAUGUUUGUCAACAGAUUUAUUUAUAAACAAUAAAUUAAUAGUUCAAAUGUUAUAAAAGAAGGAGGAAAGAAAGAAAAGGAAGAGAGGAAAAAUGAAGGAGAGAAGGAUGGAUGAAGGAAAGGAGGAAGAGAAGAAGAAAAACAAGCAAGGAAGAAAGAAAGGAAGAAGAAAAGAAAGAGGAAGGCAGACAGGAAAGUAAGCAGAAAGAAAUGAAGGAGGAAAAGAGCAGCAGGAAGAGGAAGAAGGGGGGAAGGAAGGAAGAAAGGAGGGAGGAAGAAAGAGGGGGGUGGGGGCAAGAAACGAAGAAAAGGAAGAGUGAGAGAAAGAUAAAGGAAUAAAAUAUUGGAACUGCUUGGGACACUUUUUGCCUACAUAUGUUCUUGUCCCCUUGUCCUUCAAUAAGUAGCUCCUAGUUGGAAACCUGCCCUGAAUAUCUAACAUAGAAUGUAAUAACAACUUUUCCUGCCUAAUCCUUCAGCUUGCUCUCUUCUUUAUAAUGCAUUCUUUUUAACCACCUGACAUUUAUAAAUAGAGAGAGAGAUGACUGUUAUCAAGAUUUAUUCCUGUCUGCUUCCUUAAGAACAUACACAUUGGUUCGUUUCUAUGUUCCCGUCACCAGUUCCCACCACAGUGUCAUGUCACAUGAUGAACUAAUAAGAUCUCAUUGAUUAAAGAGACAUACAAUAUACAAGCAAAUACAAGAAGAAAGUAAUUCAAGGUAAUGAAAAGUGCCAUAAAGCAAAUAAAGGAGGAUGGUGAGUGAUCCCACGGAGGGUUUGGUAGCCAGUCAGAGGUGGAUAUCUCAAGAAGUGAUAUGUAAGCUAAGGGCAGAAUGAUAACGUAAUUAGUAUGAUCUACACAUGAAUAAAAAUUCACUACAGGAAGAAAGAGAAGGAGCAGCUAUGUGGAUG
rnacentral:lncRNA from 1 species